UAGUAACAGAAGAAGAAGAGGAAAAACUUUGAGGCAACAACAACUUGAAUUUCACGGACGUCACUUUGACCAUAAGGAACACAGAGCGAUCUGCUGCCAUGGACAAUGGUAUAGAAACAGUGGUGUAAAAUAGCAGCACUUCAGCAACCUGUGCUUCUAAUGGCCUAACUGCAUGUGACUGAAAACUACCAAUCAGAGCCGAUGAGUCUCUAACACAGCUGUCAGUCAUGUCAAUGGCUGAAUCCAAAUGUCCACCCUCUGGACUCUCGGACUGAGCCCCUGCGGACUUCAGGUGUAUGUACUAUGAUGUAUUUACUGCCAUCACGUAAAGUCUGUGAGGGCAGAGACUGCAACUGGCUGAUGGACAGCCAUCAAGACUGUUUUACUUGUUGCCAUGGAAACGUUCGACUAUCGCU